rnacentral:rRNA from 1 species
AUGGAGAUCUUCCCUUUAGACCCUAAGCGCCAAGAGAAGGAAACAAUUAUAAAUUUCCCCGAGCUGAAGCAUAUCCACCUACACGAUCUCCCCAAGCUGCAGCGCAUCUGUGGAAGUAAGAUUUUUGCGCCGAAGCUCGAGACUAUCAAGACAAGGAGCUGCUGGAGCCUGACGCACCUGCCCGCUGUUGCCAAGCAAUGCCCAGAGGUGGACUGCGAGAAGGACUGGUGGGACAGCUUGGAGUGGGACGAGGGGGAUGCAAACCACCACCCUUCGCUCUACAAGCCGAGCCACUCGAGGUACUACAAGAAGGCCCAACUGCCGAGAGGCACCGUACUCAGGUAA